rnacentral:piRNA from 1 species
UGAUUGUGGAUGUGAUGUGACCCGCACCA